CCUACAGGGGGCAGCAGUGGGGAAUAUUGGACAAUGGGGGCAACCCUGAUCCAGCCAUGCCGCGUGUGUGAAGAAGGCCCUCGGGUUGUAAAGCACUUUCAGUGAGGAAGAACGCCUGGUGGUUAAUACCCAUCAGGAAAGACAUCACUCACAGAAGAAGCACCGGCUAACUCCGUGCCAGCAGCCGCGGUAAUACGGAGGGUGCGAGCGUUAAUCGGAAUUACUGGGCGUAAAGCGCGCGUAGGUGGCUUGAUAAGCCGGUUGUGAAAGCCCCGGGCUCAACCUGGGAACGGCAUCCGGAACUGUCAAGCUAGAGUGCAGGAGAGGAAGGUAGAAUUCCCGGUGUAGCGGUGAAAUGCGUAGAGAUCGGGAGGAAUACCAGUGGCGAAGGCGGCCUUCUGGACUGACACUGACACUGAGGUGCGAAAGCGUGGGUAGCAAACAGGAUUAGAUACCCCGGUAGUC
rnacentral:rRNA from 1 species